rnacentral:rRNA from 1 species
CUUGAGUGGCGGACGGGUGAGUAACACGUGAGAAUUCGCUUUAGGCGGGGAAUACCAUCGGAAACAAUGGCUAAUGCCCCAUAUGCUCGUAAGAGUGAAAGGAGUAAUCCACCCAAAGAGAAGCUCGCGGCUGAUUAGCUAGUUGGUAAGGUAAUGGCUUACCAAGGCGACGAUCAGUAGCUGGUUUGAGAGAACGAUCAGCCACACUGGAACUGAGACACGGUCCAGACUCCUACGGGAGGCAGCAGUGGGGAAUUUUCCGCAAUGGGCGAAAGCCUGACGGAGCAAUACCGCGUGAGGGAUGAAGGCCUUUGGGUUGUAAACCUCUUUUAUCAAGGAGGAAGUUCUGACGUGUACUUGAUGAAUAAGCAUCGGCUAACUCCGUGCCAGCAGCCGCGGUAAGACGGAGGAUGCAAGUGUUAUCCGGAAUCACUGGGCGUAAAGCGUCUGUAGGUGGUUUAAAAAGUCCACUGUUAAAGAUUGAAGCUUAACUUCAAAAAUGCCGUGGAAACUUUUAAACUUGAGUAUGAUAGGGGUAGAGGGAAUUUCCAGUGGAGCGGUGAAAUGCGUAGAU